GGAUGGAGUUUCAUGAUCUGUUGGAUAUACCUCAAGGAGAUAGAAGGAAGUACCAUGAUGAUGUCUCUGUGAUGGUUGUGUCUCUUGAAGGAAGGAUUUGGCGAUCGUCUGGACAAUAUUAUCCUGAGAGAAAACCAAAAUUCAAUAGAUGAAUUUAACAACCAGUUGAACAAAAAAAAGAAGUUAAGGUGUAAUUGGGUUAUUGUUUUCAAACAAUCUUUCAAUUUCCAAAAAGUAAAAGAAGGAAAGGUCUAAGUCUACUUAUAUUGCUUCCAUAACCUCAUCUUUGUUUUCAAUAGAAGGUUAGAUAAAAUUGGUUAAAUGUAGAUGAUAAUUCGAGAAAUUGAUAGGCGGUAACUAAUUGUUUUAUAAAGAAUUAUUGACUAAGCGGAUUAUUUGGGGUUUAGGUGUUAACUGAUAUUGAUAUAUAUUUACAUAUAUGUUAAAUAUUUUAUUUUUUUGCUCAGUUAUAAAUUUGUUUUGAUGAACUAUAAAAACUAGUAUAGAAAAAAUAUUUACACAAAUUUAUGGAUUUGUACUAAUAUUAUUAGUUAAUUAAAUAAAUUUAGAUCAGUUUUUAACUCUUUAUACUAACGGAUUAAACUGAUUUUAAUUGUAUAAAUCGGAUAUUUUAAAAAUUGUACAAAUCUCUUUCUAUUGCUUCUGCAUCCAUGAUCUUGUUCUCAACACAACAACUAACAUCAUAAAGGUUUAAGGUUUCUUAUUUAUUAUCAUUGGAGUCUCUGAGAGAGAAAGAGGGUUUCUAUCCAUAUCACUUUUGGAGUCUCUGAGCGAGAAAGAGGUUUUGUCACUCAACUUCGUCUCUUGGUCGGUUACAGAGUCAGGCGCGUAUGAGUCGUUGUGAGCCGUUAAUUCACGAUAUUUCGUCUUUAUUCGUAUUGACUGUUUUGGGCGGAGGAAAUCAAAAACUGCCUUCUUCUCCCUUUAUUCAAUGGUUGCUCACCAAUCUGAAUCUCUCGUCUCACCAUACGAUUCACUAUGUUGUCUCUUCGAAGCCUCACUAGCUUCGUCGCUCUCCCAUCGCCAAUCAAUCCCUCUCCCUAUUCGCGUCGUCCCUCAGUUCGCUGCCGUCUCACCGAGGCUGCUGCAGCUUUUGAAGUGGUCUCCGGAGAGUCAGACCGUGCGAUUGCCAGUAGCUUGACUGAGCUCCAAAACGGCGGUGGCUGGAAGGUGGAACCAGAGCAGCUUCCUCCUCCCACGGCGGAAGAUGGCGGCGAAGGAGAAGCUGAAAAGGAAGAAGAGAGGAUUUCGAGUGUCCAUGUUCCUCGUGAGAAGUACAUCAACGUCUCCAAGUCUGAUCUCGUUAACGCCGUUGUAACGACGUUACUCGAUUCACAAGACGGAGACGCUGACAUCUUUCUCCUCCUUGCCACGUAAGCCGACUUUUAUAAAAAUCCUUAAGCAAUGCAUCAUCUUAGGCUUCGAAUGUUUUAAUUCGCACGGGCCGCAGUUAACAACAGUAACAAAAAUCUUUGCAUUUUAUAACUGUUUGAACCGCAGUUGUACCGCUUGUCCUCAUUCGGAGCCUUAGUUAGUUAGUAAUUUGAAUCUCUCUCGCUCGCUUUAGGUGCUUGGACUCUAUCCUUCACGCGGAGCACAAGAAGGUCUUAGAGCAGAUGAGAGCCGAUUUCGUCGCCACUCAGUCUCUCGAGAAGGUAAACAUUGGUGACGAUGAGAGCUCUACUACUUCAGGUAGAGAGACUGACUCAGAUGAUGAAACAAAUAAAACUGAACCUGGGAGUGUUGUUAAUGGAUACGAGGGUUUAUCAUUCCCUCUGGCUGAUGGUUUUGAUAUUUGGAACUUUUUGAUUUCCACUGGUAAACAAGCAAAGAGACGUUCUGCUGAAAGGUAGUAUUACAACCUAUCCUGAGAGGUUUUGAGGAUUAACAUGCCAUGAAAAUCAAAGUCUGAAUAUAGAUUGGUGAUAUUUUUUCGAAUGCAGUGUUACUGCUGCGACUCGGUUCCAGCGUUCCUUUAUUCAGCUUCUCGACAGUGCCGGUUUUGAAGAGCUUUCUGCUAGGGAUUUGGCUCUGACGUCGGCUCUCAACACGGAUUACCUUCUUACUUUGCCUGUUUACGUUGAUUGGAACAAGGCAUCAGAGUCCAAUGCUAUUGUUUUCAGGUUUAAUUUAAUAUAUCUUUUGAUGCGUUUGUACAUUUUGCUAUCUAGCUUUGAAUACUGCAAACCACUUCUAUUACCCUCUUGGGUCUGUGUAAGAACAUUUAGUAACUUCCUAGUGUCUGCGGUAGGUUCUGUGGUCCAAAUUUAUUUAUUAAUUGUAGAGCGUAUUUCAGGGUUCAUGUUCAGUUUGCAAACGUUGGCGUCUUGUCGGAUAAUCUGCUCAUGAAUUAAUCUUUUUAUAGGCGUGGAUAUGCAACUGAGAAGCAGAAGGGUUUGUUACUUGUGGAGAAGCUAGACUAUAUCCAGUCUGUAGUUCUACGAGGAAUCUUCUCUACUAUUUCAAAACCCCUGAGAAAAGUUGGAAAAUUGAUAAACAAGGUCUGACCCCUCUUAAGUGAGGCAAAAUAACUAUGUUAUUUAGUUGAUAAACUUCAAUAACGUUUUUUUUUUUCUCAAAAAUUUCAUGAACAGGCAUUAAGUGAGGCUUCCCAAACUCAAGAAAUUCAAGAUUUGUCUGAGAGAAUGAAAGUUUGGCUCAAGGAGUUGUCUCUUUUUAAGGAAUCAUAUCUAGACCUAGCCCAAACCUCUGAUAAGUUCUUGGAAGGUGAGUCCCUCUCAGAUUCAGUCCUCCCAAUGCGGUUAGCAGCAAAAAGAGCAGUCAGUCGGUGAAGACCACCCGGAGAGUUGUCUAGAGAGCAACCGUCACUUGCAGUGGGCUCAUGGGAGAGCUGGAGAAGACAGGGUUCAUGUUGUGCUUUCGGAGGAGCAAGGAUGGCUUUUCAUAGGGAUAUAUGAUGGGUUUAGUGGACCGGAUGCUCCGGACUUCGUGAUGAGUCAUCUGUACAAAGCUAUAGACAAGGAACUGGAAGGUCUUCUCUGGGUUUAUGACGAGCCAUCUGAAGAUAAUCCAUUGCAGCCAGACCAGGAACCUCAUUCUACUACACAGGGUAACUUGUUAGUUCCUGAAACUAUCAGUGAGCAGCAUUCAAAGUCAGCACAAGAAGGAAGUGAAGAGGUUAUGACUGAUAAUAACAGUAGCCUUGAAAAUGCCGAUGGUCCACCUGGAAAUUUAGCAGGUCCUGGCAAGAAAAGCACGAGGCUUUACGAGCUACUUCAAUUGGAACGGUGGGAUGGAGAAGAAGUGGGACUUAAACAUUCUGUAAGUGAUAUGACCAAUCAGGUUGAAGAUGCAUCUACUUCAGGUGGAAAUGAUCAGUGUACCAACGAGAACACCGUUCUUGAUGAGAUUCCAAACUCAGGGCAACUCCAUGGGACUAAAAAAUCACAGAUAAGCUCAAAGAUAAGAAGAAUGUAUCAAAAACAAAAGUCUUUACGGAAAAAGCUGUUUCCUUGGAGUUAUGAUUGGCACAGGGAAGAAGAAGGGACGACGACUUGCGUUGAAGAGAAGAUCGUAGAGUCAUCAGGACCGAUUAGGAGACGCUGGUCAGGAACCGUAGACCAUGAUGACGUGCUAAGAGCAAUGGCUAGAGCGCUAGAAAGCACUGAGGAGGCUUACAUGGACAUGGUGGAGAAGUCUCUUGAGAUAAACCCGGAGCUUGCGCUAAUGGGUUCAUGCGUUCUCGUAAUGCUAAUGAAGGAUCAAGAUGUUUACGUCAUGAAUGUUGGUGAUAGUCGAGCUAUCUUGGCUCAGGAAAGGCUCCAUGAUCGUCAUUCUAAUCCAGGGUUUGGAGUUGAGGAAGGUAUGGGGCAUAAGAGUAGGUCGAGAGAGUCGCUAGUGCGUAUGGAACUAGAUAGAAUAUCAGAAGAAUCUCCAAUACACAAUCUAACCACUCAGAUUAGUGUCUCGAACAAAAACAGAGAUGUGACUUCUUACCGGUUAAAGAUGAGAGCUGUUCAACUCUCAAGUGACCAUAGCACAAGUGUGGAAGAGGUAAACUAAGUUUAUGAUUUGCCAAAUUCAAUCAUAGCUCUCUGAUUUGUUUAUGUGUUUUCAGGAAGUUUCGAGAAUUAGAUCCGAACAUCCAGAAGAUGAGCAGUCCAUACUCAAAGACAGAGUCAAAGGCCAGCUCAAAGUCACCAGAGCUUUCGGUGCUGGUUUUCUCAAAAAGGUAAGAGAGACAAAUCCUCCUCAAAACUUUCAUAACCAAAGUACUUUCCGUCUCUGAAUAAUUAAUGUUGUUUGCAGCCGAGUUUCAACGAAGCUUUGCUUGAGAUGUUCAGAGUAGACUACAUUGGAACAGAUCCGUACAUCAGCUGCGAACCGUGUACUGUCCAUCACAGGCUCACUUCAAGCGAUCGGUUCUUGGUUUUAUGCUCUGAUGGACUGUAUGAAUACUUCAGCAACGAAGAGAUAGUUGCUCACGUGACUUGGUUCAUUGAAAACGUUCCUGAUGGUGAUCCUGCUCAAUACCUCAUUGCAGAGCUUCUCUCUCGUGCAGCCACCAAGAACGGUAACAGUUUUGAACAUCAAAUGAUCAUCGGUUUUGGUUGACCUUGUGAAAAUGAAACCAGCGUUUCCAUGUGAUGUGUGUAUAUUGCAGGGAUGGAGUUUCAUGAUCUGUUGGAUAUACCUCAAGGAGAUAGAAGGAAGUACCAUGAUGAUGUCUCUGUGAUGGUUGUGUCUCUUGAAGGAAGGAUUUGGCGAUCUUCUGGACAAUAUUAUCCUGAGAGAAAACCAAAAUUCAAUAGAUGAAUUUAACAACCAGUUGAACAAAAAAAAGAAGUUAAGGUGUAAUUGGGUUAUUGUUUUCAAACAAUCUUUCAAUUUCCAAAAAGUAAAAGAAGGAAAGGUCUAAGUCUACU
rnacentral:lncRNA from 1 species